GGCGAGUCUAUUGUGGACGUUACGUUUGC
rnacentral:sRNA from 1 species